ACUAAGGAAGUUUUAAACAGAAAUGAUGGACGUGACAUUUAUUUAAUUAGCAGAAAAACAAGUACACUUUAUCAAGUUUCAUUAAUUGAUAAGUUAAAUGAACCAAAUUUCGUCCUGCAAAAGUUUUAAAAGUUGCGAACAGUAUAAAAGUGAUAAUACUGACAUCUAAAGACGCGAGUAUAGACGAAUACGUUUAUCUUUACAAUUAUUCUCGGCUAAAUAUGUAGAUAUAUAUAAGGAAUGGCCGGGAUAUCAGCAGUUUUGAUAUUUUUGUUGGUCUUGACCACACCAAUAUUAUUUACGUCUGCCAAUACACCAAUGACUUCACCUACUUCGACUACUACAGAUGUGGAAUAUAACGGUUCCUGUGAUAACAACGUUUCUAAUGAAAUCCAAUGCUUAACACCAAAUGCAAAAUGCAUAAAAGGUAGAUGUGUAUGCCCUGAUGACUUUUUCUUCCUGGAGGACAACAACACAUGUGUAAAAAGUAGGUAGCGAUGUGUCUUUACUUUAAAUAUAUUUUA